AAGCACCAUCUGCAGCACUGUACAGCUGGGAAAUUGCAAAAAUAAAAACUUACCUUCCAAAAGUCCCAGAUUCAUCAGGACAGUCUCGGUUUUGGGCUCCUGUAACUUCAUGUCAGGUGUGAUUUUUAGGGACGUGGAGACACGAGAAAUGCCACCAACAAGUACAGCGCAGGCGCGUUAUUAGAUAAUCUAGUUCUGCACAAAUUGAAUUCAGCAGAACCCAAACUGAUUGCUCCCCUAUAUGAUGGGAAUGCUCACAAUCAUCAUACCCCGUUCCACCCUCUAUAUGACCACACCACUCUACUCAGAAUAAAUAACAGAGAACACUACUCAUCAUACUCAUCAGCUUUACAUCUGAUAUACAGCACAUUUAUUUAUUCUGUUCCAACCUAGAGGAGGGGAGGCCUUGUCUGAGGCUGAAAAAUUAUCUAAUUUUAUUGUUCGUUAAAGAGACAUUCUGGACUCAUGAAUAGGUUUGCUGCAUACCUCUGGUACUAAUGGUAAAACAAAUAAGCUAGGGUUCUUAUAGCUGAUGUGAGUUGUCAGAUUUCUGCUAAAUAAAGUUUUAUCACAAGCUCCACCCCUUGUUCUUCCUCAUUUAAGAGGAAAUGAGAAAACAGCCUGGCAGGAAGUGUGCUCAGCUGACACACACCCACAAUUUUCUGUUUAAUAUCACAAUUAAACUAUUUUGUCUAGAUUAGAGACGGGGAUUGGUUUAGAGAUUCUGGCCAACUCGUUGGAUUUAAAAAAAAGAAAAAUGUAUUGGAUUACUUGCAAAAGCUGCCGAUGAGGGAAUAUAAGUAAUUUAUUUUUGUAUUGAAUGUAGUUAUUU